rnacentral:rRNA from 1 species
UACGUAGGGGGCAAGCGUUGUCCGGAAUUAUGGGGCGGAAAGAGCUCGUAGGCGGUUUGUUGCGUCGGCUGUGAAAUCCCGAGGCUCAACCUCGGGUCUGCAGUCGAUACGAGCAAACUAGAGUGUUGCAGGGGAGACUGGAAUUCCUGGUGUAGCGGUGAAAUGCGCAGAUAUCAGGAGGAACACCGGUGGCGAAGGCGGGUCUCUGGGCAACAACUGACGCUGAGGAGCGAAAGCGUGGGGAGCGAACAGG